CCAGACAUUUUAAUAGGACGGAGCAUCCUCACAUUUCCUCACCCCAUCCCCGCCAUCUGGAGCCCCUGAAUGACCCCUCAAGUGCGACACAAAAAAUAAUCACAGCAACCUCUCCCUCACCCCCCUCCCCUCCCCAAAACCUGCCAAAACCCAGGAAAAAUUUGGGAAAACAAACAACCCAGAGCGGGGGGCUGGGCAGGGCAGGUGGAGCCGGUCCUGGGAGAAAUAACAAAACUGGGCAGAGAAGGCACAAAAAAUAAAAAAAAAAGGGAAAAAAAAAAUCACAAUUCUCAGCUUUUUUUGGGGUUAUUUUGGGAUGUUCUGCGGUAGAUUCCAGGGAUGUGGUGGGGUCGCACCUAAAGCGGCUCCUCCCCUCCCUAAAAAAAUGGAAAUUAAAUUGAAAAUACGAGCUCAGAGCAAUUCCUGGCUGGGAACUGGGGCGUUUCUAGAAUUCACAGCACCCAAAACCCAAAAAUAUUUGCUUUUCCCCCCUUUUUUUCCCCUUUCUUUCUCCCUUCCCCCACCUUUUUUUUCCCUUUUUCCCCCAUUCUUUCUCCCUUUUUUCCCUUUUUCCCCCUUUUUCCCCCUUUUUUCCCCAUUCUUUCUCCCUUUUUUCCCUUUUCCCCCCUUUUUUCCCCAUUCUUUCUCCCUUUCCCCCCCUUUUUCCCCUUUUCCCCCCUUUUUUCCCCCUUUUUUCCCCUUUUUUCUCCUUUUUCCCCAUUCUUUCUCCCUUUCCCCCCCUUUUUUCCCCUUUUCCCCCUUUUUUUCCCUUUUUCCCCCAUUCUUUCUCCCUUUUUCCACCCUCAGACCACAUUUGGUGGACACGUGUCCGUCUCUUUUCUUGUUUUUUAUUUUUUUUCCCUUUUUUUCCUCCCCUCCCAGGGCAGAACUCGCACACUUUGCAGAUCGCUUUUCCUUCCUCCCGCUGCUUUUCCUGUCCCUCUCCAUGUGGCCCCGAGCUCAGGGCUGGCCUGACCCCCCAAAAAUCCCCAAAAUCCCGGAAUUUGGGGCCUCUCCCCAAUUAUUUUCCAUGGAUAAUGAAGAUUUUUUGGUGGAGUUGAA
rnacentral:lncRNA from 1 species